GAUGAACGCUGGCGGCGUGCCUAAUACAUGCAAGUCGAGCGAACAGACGAGGAGCUUGCUCCUCUGACGUUAGCGGCGGACGGGUGAGUAACACGUGGAUAACCUACCUAUAAGACUGGGAUAACUUCGGGAAACCGGAGCUAAUACCGGAUAAUAUAUUGAACCGCAUGGUUCAAUAGUGAAAGACGGUUUUGCUGUCACUUAUAGAUGGAUCCGCGCCGCAUUAGCUAGUUGGUAAGGUAACGGCUUACCAAGGCAACGAUGCGUAGCCGACCUGAGAGGGUGAUCGGCCACACUGGAACUGAGACACGGUCCAGACUCCAACGGGAGGCAGCAGUAGGGAAUCUUCCGCAAUGGGCGAAAGCUUGACGGAGCAGCGCCGCGUGAGUGAUGAAGGUCUUCGGAUCGUAAAACUCUGUUAUUAGGGAAGAACAAAUGUGUAAGUAACUAUGCACGUCUUGACGGUACCUAAUCAGAAAGCCACGGCUAACUACGUG
rnacentral:rRNA from 1 species